CAGAAACUUGAGCUGGGCGCAGUGUAGCACUCGCGCCCUUGGGGGCUAGCGUUUGGCCGGAGCUACACACUCUUUACUCACGCACGCACACCGCCGUACACAGCACAAUCGUUCACCGUCCCGCCAAAGGCUCGUCUCUCGGGUUCUGCCUAGUGGAAGGAGUCGGACAACGCCGCACGUCACGGGCGUUUCGGAUUUCUUGCUUCCCAAAGGUUUGACGGCGGCCACCGGCGCCCCGGCCCAGCUCUGCUUUCCUUUGCUGACUCCUUCCUUUAGGUGUGAAUUUUAAAAUGCUGAUACCGCCCCAAGAGAGCUGAGUCAACUGUCUACCACCACUGCUGCGCUUGUGGAUGACUGCAGGAACACCGGGUACUUGCC
rnacentral:lncRNA from 1 species